GCCCGAGUGGUGAAAUCGGUAGACACAGGGGAUUUAAAAUCCCCCGACCUUCAAGUCGUGCCAGUUCGAGUCUGGCCUCGGGCACCA
rnacentral:tRNA from 13 species